UGGUCUACUGGAUUUGGCCCAGAGAGGGUGAAAGGCCCGUACGGGUGGAGGUUUCAGACAUGUGAGGCAAUUCACCAGACCGGCUUAGAGUCGGGUUGUUUGAGAAUGCAGCCCAAAGCGGGUGGUAAACUCCAUCCAAGGCUAAAUACUAGCACGAGUCCGAUAGCAAACAAGUACCGUGAGGGAAAGUUGAAAAGUACUUUGAAGAGAGAGUAAACAGUACGUGAAACCGCAUGCAGGUAAACGGGUGGCGUCAAGCUGCAAGCCCAGAGGAUUCAGCCGGCUAGAGUGUAGUGUAUGCGCCUGCGCAUCGAUCGGCCAGUGUAGGAUUGGGUAGUCUACUGGAAGACAGUAGGCCCUGCCGCAAGGUGGGGAUGUGUGUACCGGGCGGAGGCCGGAACACGCUAUCCGUCUAUUGGGCUGCCUAGCCGGUGCACUUUCUCUGUGGUGAACACCACGACCGGUGGAACUGCCAGUCUGUCAUAGUCAAGUCGUAGUGGGCGGGCUCUUGGGUCUGCCUGCUGUGAUCACGGGCGUGCUUGGUAAACGGCGUUAGUGCAUCUUUACGGUGUGCCGACGUGUUAUCGGCUACUAGUCGCUUUAACGGGCCUGCCUAAUGCAUGUUAUAGCCGUGUGUUGGGUGGUCUGGUGGACUUUGAUGGUAAUAAUAACUGUGCAGGGCACCGGAGUUUUCGGCCUCAAAUGCAGUCUGCAUUCAUGCUAUGAGUGUAAUGUGUUUGUGGGUGUCGUCGCGGGCUGGCUGUUGUUGGAUUUGAUUGUCGUGUUGCCUGCGAAAAGUGGGCCCGGCAGUGGUUCGAUACAGAUUGGUCUCGUUGGCGGUGCUUGCGGUGUAGACUGUGGUGGGCCAGAUAGUCUGUGGUGUAGUGGUAGACGAGCUACCCGACCCGUCUUGAAACACGGACCAAGGAGUUUAACAUGUGUGCAAGUCGUAGGGUCCUACGAAACCCGAAAGCGCAGUGAAAGUAAAGCUUUGGCAUCCUUUCGGGGGUGUCUGAAGUGAGGUGAGAUCUUGUCGUUACUCGCAUCAGCUUGCCAGUGGUAGGCAUC
rnacentral:rRNA from 1 species